ACUCCAUCUGGGGUCGAUUUAAAGGGACCUCCGUGACCUCCUUGUAGCUCCUCGCUGAGCUCAGGAGGAGGAUGUCUUUAGGUGCGGCUGCUAAAAUCCGAAUGUGCCUUGGCCUCCAACUGUGUUGACUGAGGGAAUAAUAAGACCAGCCACAUGUGGCCUUGUCACCUUG